UGUCCCUGUCCAUGGCAGGGGUUGGAAUGUCAGCUUUAAUGUCUCUUCCAACUCAAACCAGUCUGUGGUUUCAUGUAAAACACAUGGUGCCUCUAUCAGCCUGUCCACCGUGGUUUUUCUUAACAUUUGGGGUCAUUCUUCUGAACAGAGCCUGGGAGCAGUAUUCUACAAAUUCUUGUGCAGAAACAAGUGCUUCUGAGAAGAGAAAAAAAAAAUCCCCCAAACCAGAGACUUCACCAGUGCAGUCUCAGUAGUUUCUGGAGGUGGAUGCCCGUAGCUGCAGGGAGACAGUUUUUCUGUCUCACUUGCACUGUAGAUCUUUGAACUCUUAGGCCAGUAAAUCUUACCUCUGUCACUUGACUCUUUGCCUGCCUUUGACAAACUACAAGUGUACUGUCUCCUAGGUCAGCUUUACUUCAAGGCAAAGUAAAUAAUGCAUGAUAAGCAGCAACUGUCCAGGAACACAAGUUAAUUGUUU